CUAAGGUGGGAUAGAUGAUUGGGGUGAAGUCGUAACAAGGUAGCCGUAUCGGAAGGUGCGGCUGGAUCACCUCCUUUCUAAGGAUAAGGAACACGUUGGUUAAGUCUUAUUUAGUUUUGAGAGGUCUUGCAAGACGCAGAGACAAACUGUGGGGCCUUAGCUCAGCUGGGAGAGCGCCUGCUUUGCACGCAGGAGGUCAGCGGUUCGAUCCCGCUAGGCUCCAUAGGAUACAGUUCAACUGACCUUAAUAGAAGUGAAGUUUCAUUGUAUCUUAGUAUAGUCCAUUGAAAAUUGAAUAUCUAUAUCAAAUUCCACGAUCAUGAAAAUGAUUGUAGAAAAGUAACAAGAAAUAAACCGAAAAAAAGAUAAACGCGAACAUAUUAAAAAAAAUCAAGAAGGUCUAAGGACUGGAAAUAAGGUUAAGUUAAUAA
rnacentral:misc_RNA from 1 species